rnacentral:lncRNA from 1 species
GUGCCUACUUCCUCUUCGCUGUCACGUGAGGCGGCGGCUUGCCUUGCAGCUAUCGAGCCGCUGCCGCUCCCCUGGCAUAGCCUGCUUCCUUCUUGUCCUCUUGAAGUCCCCAAGCCAACGGGAUUCGGUGGGCUGCGGGAGUAUUUGCGCCAGCUGAUGCCUCCGGGAAUGCUUGGCGGAGUUUCUUACAUGCAACCAAGGGCGCUUGCACUCGGUCCACAACCCUCGCCGUGGGUCGUCUCUUUGGGUCCGCAGAGAAGCCAAGAAGGUAUUAAUUGGACGAGGCCCAGGCGGUGGAUGCUGCCCGGAAUUGGAAUGGAAAUUAUUUAGGUUUUGUGGUUUUUGCUUUAAAAAAAAAAAAAAAAGCAGGAUCUCAUUUGUUAGACCAGCCUGAAAAUCGCGUUGAUUCCCCUGCCUCGGGCUCCCGUGCCUUCAUUUUGAAGUAUCUCUUGAUAAUUGAACGUCUGGAAAUUAAACGGUUUCAGCGAAGGCAUUUUGCUUUUGUUUUUCCAAGGAUGGUUUGGGAGCAUCAAGUGGGAAAUACAGGGUAAUGCACGUACAUAUUAAAUUCUGCAAGAAGGUAUUAAGCAAAAAAAAAAAAAAAAA